rnacentral:lncRNA from 1 species
GUAAGAGCUGGGGAUGAAAGGAGGGCUAAGCAGGAGGCAUGCAAGUUGCAAAGUGGAGCAAUGGGAGAUGUUCUCAGGAAACAGCACUGUGUGUCACGGAAUAUUUUACUUUCAGUUUUUCUGGGUUUUCAGAAAAUGUGGUAACUUUAAAGUUUUCACAGUUGAAUUAAUUCCACAGAACAACUGGUUGUAGAAUCAUAGCAACAUAAUUAUGAGUUGUGCUUCUGGCUCCAAAUCUUUCAUCUAAAAAUAAUCGCAGUGACCACAUCUUGGGAAAACAAAGCCAUUACCUAUUCUUGUGCUCCAGCUAUCUCGGUAGUCACUUACUGGAAAAUGGAUUACAGGCAUUCUCUAAGGCAUGAACAUGAUUUUGAAGAAAUCCUUUACCAUCACACAUCACACAAGCCUGCCUGUGCUCCUCCAGAAACGUAGCCCUAGUACUCCUGGAAGCCCAUUUUGUUCCUUCAGGGAGUAUGCUUUCUUUGUGCAGAGAGGAGAAAAAUGCUGGAGACAGAGAUGUGGGGAGUAAGAGGAGGGACGGUAGGAGAUAUGAGACCUUGAGCCUCAUCUAUUUUGUGUUCUUAGCACCUAAAGAGACCUGGCACAAGAUGAAGAAAAAAAGAAUGAACAAUAAAUAUGUGAUUAAAG